rnacentral:misc_RNA from 1 species
AUGAACCUUUGAGGGUUGAGCUGGGCGUUUUAUUAUUAUUCGCAUGUGCUUGCCCUCUCAUCCCUUUAUAUACACCUGUGCACUUUUGAAGGGAGACAUUAGUAGACAUUCACUUUGUCGAAGGUAUCUCCCUUUACACUACAUACUCUAAUGAUUACUUUUGAAUGUUUAAAAAAAAAAAAAUUAAAAAAAACGCUUAAACAGCAUUUAAUUAC